GUAAAAAACAUAUCCCAUGCCAGCAAAAACAUAUCCAUCAGUAUUCCCCACUGCCCAUUGAGACAGCCUGUGUCCUUACUCCUUAGAGACCAAAGCAUACAGCACUCUUCUUAAAGACAAGGCGUUUGGAACUGUAGAUAUUGGAUUGGCCCCCACUUUUUACAGCCCAAAACCAUCUUGAAGUGUGGCUUCCAUGUAGUGUUUUCUUAUUUUCCUCUCUUUUCUAAAAUUUUUGUCCAAUUCUGAAGUGCUUUUCAGGCUCCCAUAAUAGCCCACCGUUUCUUUUCUAUCAGGGUUCGCUGUUUUUCACACGCAGAUCAAGCCCGUCUGGAUGACCCUUCUAGGUGCCUAAAUUGAAACAUGGAGGCAACGUUGCAGAACUGACAAGACAUCUGGCCAUAUCAAAAUGAGCAGAGACCCAUUCACCCUUUUCCAUUGACUUUCCAAAGCAAUGAGGGUAUGGAAGGGACUGCAGAGAUUUUUGAGAGUGAUGUUUUCCAUCUUCCCGCGCUGCCAGUUGAGAGGACAAAAUUCGAAAGACAGGUAGGCCUACACCAAAUUUAAAUUAGGUAAACUUCAAUAAAAUUUCCGUCUAAAACUGCAACCCUUUUUAUUUAGGCUAUUGUAUCAAUGAUGAUGAAUAUGAAACCAUAAACUAACAUUACGGAUGCACGGACAACAAUCUAGUCUAGUCUACCUGAAAUGGGAGGGAUCAGCGUCCCAAAUGUCCAUUCCGGCACGCUGGUUGGUUGAAAGGAGAGCAUUUGUUUACGACGACGACGAUGAUGAUGAAGAAGAAGGUGGUGGUGGUGAUAUAGAAAGCAACAGUGAUGACGUCUUUUUGUAGGCAUUAACUCUGCCAUGGUUCGUUGAACAAAGCCUAAGGGAAAAUGAAUGGAGUUUUUGUAUGGUUUUUGGAUAAACACCGAAAAUAAGAUCUGUGGUAAACACAGGCUGAGGAGAUGUUAUACAGUUUUGUUCUACGAGGUCAUCUUAAUCAGCUUACAUCACUUUUUGUGAAUUUUUAAAAAUGUAUGUAACUUCAAAAAACAUAACGCACAUAAAGGAUUUGUAAUUCAUAAAGAUCAUGAUAACUGACUGAUACCUCAUAGAACAAAACGUAUAAAAUCUCAUAAACCUGUUUUAACCACAUACCUUAUUUUCGGCAUUUAUUCCAAAACCCUAUACUUUCCCCAUUAAUUUUGCCCAUAGUAAUGGUCACCAGAUGUCAAUCAUUAGUUUUUUAGGACUACAAACUGUCGAGCUCUGUGGGAUUAGAGUUUAAGAAUGUAAUGGUGAUGUCGUGAUGAUGAUUAGGCCUAUGAAUUGCACUAUUAAAAAAAUAUAUAUUAUUAUUUUGACCCCCUUCAGUUACGUGGUAGGCUAUUCCUCGGAAGUCACUCAUGUCAGGCUUCUCGGAUACACAACUAUGCUGCGCGGCUGUCAGCGUUGCGGUCUCAUUCAACACUGGAGACUUUGGCGCCAUCCCUGCGGACACCACUUCUGCCGUGAGUGCAUGGAUCAGAUCAUAGAUGAUGGUUUCCGCGACAUCGAGGGGCUUGGCUCAAGUCCCUGUCCACAGUGUAAAUCAGUUAUAGCCUAUUAAAUGUGUAAUCGUGACUGUAUGUUAGUGCCUUUUUCUGACUUUGUGUAACCUUUUCUUUUUCCAUGCACUUUGUAGUCCCUGCAUGUCUCUAUUGCCCAGGCAAUUCAACAGAACUAUGAUAUCAUCAAGACAAAGGACAAGCAAUACUACUUCACCACUUAUCUAGUCAGUCAGAUCAGAUUUUCAUUGUAAUCUUUUUGACAUUCUAUUCUAUGCAUUAAUGAGUGUGUGUAGUAUGACAAGGUUACAAUCAAUGACAUGAAUAUAUCUUAAUAUAACAAUCUAAAUUUAGCUGAUGCUAAACUCCAUCCAAUACAAACGACUAUUUAAGAAUAUUAACAACUCAGGCAAGGUGGGGGAGAAACUGAUUGCAUGUAAUCAUGUACAUUUAAUCUGAUUACAACUAAAAGUAGUUCCAGCUAAAAUUGUGUAAUCAGGUUACAGAUACUUUGAAAAACUAGAUGAUUACUCCUUGGAUUACUUGCUUGCGACAAAAUACAUUAACACUUUUCCUUUCCUCAAUGACAUUCAAUUCAGCCUUGAAAAAAAGGGCAAAUUUAGUUUGUUCCACCUGAGUCUGACCACAAAUUAGAGACCACUAUGAUGACACACCAAAUGCGUUUGAUGGAUCCUUUUUGGCUUCUAAUGCCUCUUAAGGGGAAAGUAAUCUAAAAGUAACUGAAAUUAAUAAGAUUACAUUACUGAGUAUGGGUAAUCCAAAAUUACUGAUUACAAUUUUGGACAGGUAACUAGUAACUGUAACGGAUUAUAUUUAGUAAGUAAACUACCCAACUCUGCUUAUAGGCUAUAUGAUAGAGUGGCCCAAAGGUCAGUAUAUCAAAACAACACUUCCCAUCAAAUUCCGCCCAGAAAUGUAUCUAAUUUCAACCCCAUAAUUUGACCUUUAACCUUCAUUAAAUUACACAGCAGUACACAGUGUAUUAAUUUAAUCUGCAAUGUGCCCAUGUUUUUUUUUUUUUAACCUUUAUUUAACUAGGCAAGUC